rnacentral:tRNA from 1 species
GCCUGGGUGGCUCAGACGGUUGAGCGUCUGACUUCGGCUCAGGUCAUGAUCUCGAGGUUCCGUGAGUUCAAGCCCCGCGUCGGGCU